CUAGAGGCGAACCUGGCGACAGGGCGGCCUCGCGUCGACUCUGACUUCUCUCCCCGCCCCCGCGGGUCCCCAGCUACUUCAAAAUGACGCUGGACGUGGGGCCGGAGGAUGAGCUGCCCGACUGGGCUGCGGCCAAGGAGUUUUACCAGAAGUACGACCCUAAGGACGUCAUUGGCAGGGGACAUGGGUUCGAUCCCUGGUCCAGGAAGAUCCCAUAUGCUGCAGAGCAACGAAGCCCAUGCACCACAACUACUGAGCCUUCAUUCUAGAGCCCGUGAGCCACAACUGCUGAGCCCACGUGCCACAACUACUGAA